UGGCACAGUGAACACCAGUGUGCUUUAAACCAGUUCCCGGUGGCUUUGAACUCUAUGCUAUAGAAGCGAUGUCCGUUUUGUUUCCCAUCUGCAGAAUGGAAAGGGGAGCAUUUAUCCUUUUAAAAAUGUUUUCAGAAAGCCAGAGCUAUU
rnacentral:snoRNA from 1 species